AUUGAACGCUGGCGGCAGGCCUAACACAUGCAAGUCGAGCGGAUGAAGGGAGCUUGCUCCUGGAUUCAGCGGCGGACGGGUGAGUAAUGCCUAGGAAUCUGCCUGGUAGUGGGGGAUAACGUCCGGAAACGGGCGCUAAUACCGCAUACGUCCUGAGGGAGAAAGUGGGGGAUCUUCGGACCUCACGCUAUCAGAUGAGCCUAGGUCGGAUUAGCUAGUUGGUGGGGUAAAGGCCUACCAAGGCGACGAUCCGUAACUGGUCUGAGAGGAUGAUCAGUCACACUGGAACUGAGACACGGUCCAGACUCCUACGGGAGGCAGCAGUGGGGAAUCUUGGACAAUGGGCGGAAGCCUGAUCCAGCCAUGCCGCGUGUGUGAAGAAGGUCUUCGGAUUGUAAAGCACUUUAAGUUGGGAGGAAGGGCAGUAAGUUAAUACCUUGCUGUUUUGACGUUACCAACAGAAUAAGCACCGGCUAACUUCGUG
rnacentral:rRNA from 1 species